rnacentral:lncRNA from 1 species
CUCGGUGGCAUAGUGCUUAAGUUCACAUGCUCCACUUUGGGGACUCAGGGUUUGCGAGUUCAGAUCCUGGGCACGGACCUACACGCUGUUCAUCAGGCCAUGCUGUGGUGGUGUCCCACAUAGAAAAUAGAAGAGGAUUGGCACAGAUUGGUACAUAAUGGUGCAACUCACAAUCGAUGGCAUCGUCGAUUGGAUGAAACACAGCAGUACCUCUCACAGACUGAAUGGCUCCCCGGUGGCCACCUGUUUCCGAGGAGCUCAGCACUCAUAAUGACAAGGAAACCUAGAGGCUGAAAAUAGAGCUGAUUUCCCAGAAUCUCAGGUACCGAGAGGGGUGGGGACUUCUUGGACAUGAGUUCACAUUCGCUGAUGAAACGCAGCUGUCAUGUGCCCCACAGCUCCGUCCAGCUCCUGGUGACAGGGAAGGAAGCCAGUGUCGCUGGGAAAUACUGCAGAGGUUUUCACGCGAAGGGCUGAGCUUCCACACGCUGGAAAGG